UCGACUUCUCGGAGUUGAAGGCGGCGAUUCGGGACGCGGGGUGCCCCUGGAAAGAGUUGAGACACACGGAUCUCUGCUGGCCCGCUCCCCUGCUCAGAUGCGCGAGCUAGGACGUCGCCUCCCCCGGCUUUGUCCUCUUGGAAAGCCGGGGCCGUAGGAGAGGUGCCUGGGGCCUCAGAACAGAACUGUGGGGGAACCUACGGUUAUUAGGAUAACGGAGCCACAUCUUUGUGUGCAGCUGCGUGAAGCUGACUUGACCAGAGCCAGAGCACGCCCAGAACGACGCUGGGAAAAGUUAGCAAGCAGUGCCAGAGAGCCCAACACUAGUCAUUUCACAGUGUCACAUGAAGGAACUUCGAGGGCUGGUACCACAGGUGACUUAUCUGUGGUCUUUCCUGGGACCCUGUAACAGCCUUUCCCACCUCAGGACCUCUGGACGUAAAGGAGUUUGUUGGACUCAUGAGUGGACCAAUGAAUGAAGACACGCCUCUCUGCGUCCUCUCGUGCUCCCGCGCUGCAGUGUCUGCGCCUGGUGUGCUCUCUGCCACCGAGCUGUCAUCUGGGCCCAGGGCACACGUGCUGGCCAGUGGGGUGGGGACAACUCCCAUGUGCUUCGAUCCGCUCACAAGGAGCGUAUACUACUUGUCGUAAUUAAACUCGUCCCCCCAAAGGAAAAAACUCCACUGGCUUUAAAGAGUAAGAUAUGAAAAAAUAAACACUAUGUUUACACUGA